rnacentral:rRNA from 1 species
UACGUAGGUGCAAGCGUUGUCCGGAAUUAUUGGGCGUAAAGAGCUCGUAGGCGGCCUGUUGCGUCCGCUGUGAAAUCCCGGGGCUCAACCCCGGGCGUGCAGUGGAUACGGGCUGGCUGGAGGCAGGCAGGGGAGAACGGAAUUCCUGGUGUAGCGGUGAAAUGCGCAGAUAUCAGGAAGAACACCCGUGGCUAAGGCGGCUCUCUAGUACGGUACUGACGCUGAGACGCGAAAGCGUGGGGAGCGAACAGG